AUGAACGCUGGCGGCGUGCCUCAUACAUGCCAGUCGAGCGAACAGACGAGGAGCUUGCUCCUCUGACGUUAGCGGCGGACGGGUGAGUAACACGUGGAUAACCUACCUAUAAGACUGGGAUAACUUCGGGAAACCGGAGCUAAUACCGGAUAAUAUAUUGAACCGCAUGGUUCAAUAGUGAAAGACGGUUUUGCUGUCACUUAUAGAUGGAUCCGCGCCGCAUUAGCUAGUUGGUAAGGUAACGGCUUACCAAGGCAACGAUGCGUAGCCGACCUGAGAGGGUGAUCGGCCACACUGGAACUGAGACACGGUCCAGACUCCUACGGGAGGCAGCAGUAGGGAAUCUUCCGCAAUGGGCGAAAGCCUGACGGAGCAACGCCGCGUGAGUGAUGAAGGUCUUCGGAUCGUAAAACUCUGUUAUUAGGGAAGAACAAAUGUGUAGUAACUAUGCACGUCUUGACGGUACCUAAUCAGAAAGCCACGGCUAACUACGUG
rnacentral:rRNA from 1 species